rnacentral:rRNA from 1 species
CCUACGGGGGGCUGCAGUGGGGAAUAUUGCACAAUGGGGGAAACCCUGAUGCAGCGACGCCGCGUGAGUGAAGAAGUAUUUCGGUAUGUAAAGCUCUAUCAGCAGGGAAGAUGAUGACGGUACCUGACUAAGAAGCCCCGGCUAACUACGUGCCAGCAGCCGCGGUAAUACGUAGGGGGCAAGCGUUAUCCGGAUUUACUGGGUGUAAAGGGAGCGUAGACGGCAUGGCAAGUCUGGAGUGAAAGCCCGGGGCCCAACCCCGGGACUGCUUUGGAAACUGUUAAGCUGGAGUGCAGGAGAGGUAAGUGGAAUUCCUAGUGUAGCGGUGAAAUGCGUAGAUAUUAGGAGGAACACCAGUGGCGAAGGCGGCUUACUGGACUGUAACUGACGUUGAGGCUCGAAAGCGUGGGGAGCAAACAGGAUUAGAUACCCCUGUA